CUGGCAGUCUUCAAACUACAACUAAAGAUCUACCUCUUAAUGAAGUGUUUAAAUUGGCACCUUAUUUAAAAAAUAAAAUAAAAAAUAAUAAUUAAAAAAAAAAACACUUGUAUUGUCCUGAGCAAUUACCACUACAAAUACCAUUACAAGCCAUCAGCUCUUAACCAUUAAAACCAUGACCAAAUGUUUUCCAUUACAUAGUAGGGCACAAUUAAGGACGUAGAUCAUUAAUGGUAUCCACUAGACACAACAUGCCACUAACAGAAUGUAAAAAAUUACCAGUUGAGACCCACAGGGACCAUUACAGUUUCCAUUAAAACUAAUACAAUGCCCAUUAUAAUCAUUACAAAUUCUGUUAGGGUUUCUAUAGUUUUUUUCAGCUGGGAAGAGUGAGGAGGCUAUCCGCCCACAGUACGUCUGCCCAGACAUGGUUGCCAGAUUGAGCUUACUUGAUUUUGCUAUUUAUAAAAUGAAAAAUGAAAUGGGACAAAUUUUAUGGUUGAUAAUUUUGUCUAGGCUUCAUUUGGUUAUUAUAAAUUGGGAUAGUUUAGCGUAAAUUGGACGGGUUUUAAAUUAUCCCCACUGUUUUGGAAGCAAGUCAAGGCAACCCCGAUGAAAUGAAACCAAAAAUUAUCGGUACACGGCCACGUUCACUUUUAAACACCCGACCAGUUUUUGACACUGCUUUUUGAGAAAUGGCCUCCACAGUGACCACAGAUGCUCAUGGAGUCAGGGUGGUGACCCAGGUCAUUCCUCUGGUGAGUCCAGAGACUGUCCAGUGUCCCGGUCAGAACAAAGACAGCAAGACUAAAGUACCUGAAGCCCCGUACAUGACCAGGAUGUUCCUGAAGGGAGAGCCUGUAGCAUUAGGGACUGUGCAGAUCAUGAUUGGGAUCGUGAUGAUAGCUUUGGGAGCAGUUACUUGGUUCACACAAAUUCUGUAUGGUGAAAUCCCUCUGGGCCUUGGACUAUCAUUUAUCUUCUCUGGAUCUGUAACCUUGGGUGCACACAAGGGAACCUGUCCUCCAAUUAUUAAAAGCACAAUUGCCCUGAACAUCAUCAGUGCUGUACUUGCCAUGUCCGGCAUCUGCUACUUCUGCUUUGCACUUGCCAUAAAAGCUCAUUUGGAUGCUUGUAGUGAUGAUCAUGAGAAAAAGUUCUACUACACCGGCUACUAUGACUGCCAGUUUGCAGCUAGGCGUCUGCAGAACUUAAUAAGCGGAAUAAAGGGCAUACUUUUGAUUUUAUCCGUGCUGGAGGUGUGCGUGUGUACCACAACUGUUGUCUUUUCCUGCAAGGCCAACCUACAUGCAUCUGGGACUAAAAUGGAUGCGGUGGUGGUGCAGGGAAGAUGCAGCAGCCAAGAAGCUCUGCUGAACAGUGAAUUGGCUUCACCUCCAGCCUAUGAGCCUUGAGUGAACCCAUCCUAUGAAAGCAAUUUAUGGUUUAGAGUACAGUAUAGUAUAACAUAGUUUAAAGUAGUGCUUGCACCUUUUAGACACUAAUGUAAGAGUCUCAGAUAUUACACUUAAUUUUUUUCAUGUAUUCUGCUUUUGACGUUGCACCUUUGCACAAAUUUAUGCCACAUUGAAAAUGCCUGCAGUUAUACUGAAUACUUGUAUUCUUCAAUAAAUGCUAAAGUGCACUUAUUACCUGUGUGUGCCUCUUAUCGCUGUACGAUUUAGUGACACAAUUCCCAGUGAAACUGAGCCAUAGAUUGAUCUUCACAGCAUAGUAGUGGGGUGAGGCAAUACCUUUUGCCCACUUGCUGUGUCUGCGUUUAGUGCAUGUCCUUUUCACACACAGACUGAAACAGUGUCGGCUCUUUAACAUCAUAUUACCUUCUCCUUCUCCUCCCACACCCACGACGUAGCACACUAGUGUCAAUACUCUCCAGCAGUGGGUCUUCUCUACUUGCUGCAGUCUGCCACACCACAUUCUCAACUGCGCUCUUCAGCCCCUCCAAAGCGUUUAGAUAAUUCAUGCUCCGGUGAAACAUACCUCACAACACAGCUCUUAGAGUCGAGAUUGCUCUAGAAUACGGAGGUAUUGAGCUCGCCCUCAUUCGGCUGUGUCCGGAUUGCCUCGCCUCAUUACAUUAAGAGUGCUGCAGCGGUUUGGACCCCUCCUCGGUUUGUCAACACCGCCUCUGCACAACUCAAGAGCACCAUGUCGCUGUACCCGUCUCAGAUUAAGGCUUUCAAGAGCAGCGAGCCCAAAACCCUUGGGGCAGUGGAGAUCAUCAUUGGGUUGCUGACGGUCAUUCUGAGCACGAUUGUGUAUAAACUGCACUACCACAUCCAGCGGGAGGUCAUCAUCCUCAUCCUGAAUGGUGCUCAACUCAUUAUCACUGGAAUUGUCUUGGUGCAUACUGGUAGGAGACCAUCUAAAUGUCUGGUGGGUACAACCAUUGUUUUGCAGUUGCUAACCGCAGCAUUUGAUAUUGUCGGAUUUGGUCUCAUAGCCCGACAUGUGCCCUUUCGUGGGGAAUCCUACUAUUACAGAGACACCGAGUGGUGUUGUGACCCACUCCAUUCAGUGUGGGCUUGCUGUGGAGAAGGAGAUAAAGCGGGACAGAAGGAGUUCCUGGUGAAUGGCAUUUUGGGCACCUUGAUUGGUUUUUUGGUAUUGGUGUGUAUUAUCGGUUUGGUUGUGGCACUUUUUGGAGUGUAUGCCCUAUCUGUUAGUGCUAUUAAGGAGAUGACACCUAUUCCUACCUCCACUGCAAACGCACAGUACGGUGCCGGAGGACAGGCCAGGACUAAUGUGCGUAAUGGGAACUGACCGAACAAAAUCUCUCACAGGAUAAGAUCAAUGGUUUUAGCACAGUUUCAUACCAAUCAAAAGAAACAACUGUUUCAACUCUAAAUCACACACAAUUCAAACAAAAACUUUUGUGACAAUGUAAAUAAUUUGUAAACAAACAAACAAAAAAAAACAACUGUUAGGUCGUUACUUGGCUGUUUUCUCACGCUGCAGUGAAUUUUGAUGGCUAAAUAGUUGCUAGGACUUCAUUCAUUUUGCACUAAUAGACAAGUUUGUUUGCAUGAAAAUACUUUUGUAGUGUCAGUAAUGAGCAAGCCAUAGACGUGAAUGCUGUAAGAUUGUACAGAAAUGUAGGUAGCAAUUCUUUUUUUUUAAUAUGCUAACCAAUUUGCAAAUUAGACAGAUUAUCAGUCACAAAAUACAUGUUUGUACUGGACUACAACUGCUUUCAAAACAAAGAAAGAAAUAUGAGAGAUGAUGUAUAAUAUAGUAUAUUAUUAAUGCAAGUCUGUGCUGGGGUGCUGUAGAACAUCAUUUGCAUGAAACAUUAGUCAAAUUCUAAGGCUAGUAAUGAGAGAUAAUACUGAACAACAUUUAUUAAGCUUUUCCUCAAAAAAACAUUGGGUUCAAAAGAAUCUACCAAGGAAUCUAUCUGGCCAACUCAAACAAAAACCUUAAGAUUACACACUAGCAAUAUAUAAUGAACACUAGUAAUGUCAGUGUAUUUGUAAUAUUUGCAUUUACAUUUUUAGGCAACCAGAGUUGACAGACUUUACAAAAGAAUGAAAGCUUGAUAAAUAUUGCCCAGAGUACACAUGAAAGUAAGGAUGUUUCUAAUGUGGGAGAACUGUGUCAAGAUCAUCUAAGUGUUAACAAAUGAUUGGCAUUGCUUGGCUUUUUUUGUCAUCCUAUUUUAUAUUUACUGAUACUUCAGGAAAGCUAUGAUGACUGCCAACUCUGUAAGUGCCACCACUUGUGACCAAAAUUAAUGGACACUAACAACAAAAAGUAAGAGGUUGAAGCCUCACUUAAGGGCUCAGCCGGUGUAAUCUCCUCUUGUGGAAGCAUGUUAUCAGUUCACAGUACUGUCUGUGUCAGUGUGUCAUUGCCUUUACAACAGCAUGUCAGAUUUACAUUUUGCCUGUAUUCUUCAACUUCUUUAUAUGUAGUGAUGGAAAAUCAUAGACAGUGUCAUGCGUGUUUAUGUAUGAUUGAUGUUUAAAAUAAACAUGAUUUGCUAGACAAACAGCAAUGGAAUAUUUUCUGCAUUAAAAAGUGUAAAUAAAGGAAAGUGCCAUACCCACAAAGUAAAAUAAAUAUUCAGUAUACCUAAAAAUUUAUUAUGUUACUUAUUUUCCAUUUAAAAAGCACCAAAAUAGUACCGCAGUAAGGUCUAAAGUAACACAAUUGUUGAUUCAAGUUCAAAUACUUGCCCUGUCCUACUCGCCUGCUCCAAUUUCAUGUGGUUCUACAGUCCCCUCCUAAAAUACUGGAACACAGGGUUAAUUCGUUGUUGUUUUUUGCUGUAGACUGAAGACAUUUGGGUUUAAAUUAAAAAUUAAAUAUGAGAAGAAAGUUAGAAUUUCAGCUUUUAUUUCCUGAUAUUUAUAUGUAGAUGUGUUAAAUGACAUAGAACAUUUUGUAUCAACCACCCAAUUUGUAGGUCAGCAAAAAUAUUGGAACAUGGACUGACAGAUAUUUCUUGUUACCCAGGUGUGUCUUGUUAAGUUGAUUGUUUAAACAAUAAAUAGCUCUGAACAUCUACUCAUGGUUUCAGCCUUCAGUUUCACCUGUGAAGACUGCAUUUGUUGUUAAAAAGGAUAGGCCAACAUGAAAAUUGGACAGCCGUCUAUGGGAGAAAAGCAAGCCAUCUUGAAGCUGAGAAAAGAGGGAAAAUCAAUCAGAGACAUUGCACAAACAUUGGGCAUAGUGACUACAACAAUUUGGAAUGUCCUGCAAAAGAAAGAAACCACUGAUGUACUGAGCAACAGACACUGAGAACAACAGCAGCUGAAGACAGAAACAUUGUGAGAGCUGUAAAGAAAAACACAAAAACAACAAUCAUUGACAUAACCAACAACCUCCACAGGACACUCGUGAAGGUAUCACAAUCCACCGCUCAAAGACUUCAAGUGCAGAAAUAUAUAGAGGCCAUACCACAAGAUGCUAUCUACUCAUCAGCUGAAAGAAUCAGAAAGCCAGAUUGGAAUUGGCAAAGAAAUACAGAGAUGAGCCACAAAAGUUCUGGAACCAAGAUAACCUCUACAAAGCCAUGGAAAGGCCAAUGUGUGGAGAAAGAAGGGAUCUGCUCAUGAUCCAAAACAUACAGGUUCAUCUCUGAAUCAUGGUGGAGGUAGUGUCAGGGCUUGGGCUUGCAUGGCCUUUUCUUUAACAGGCUCACUAGUGUUUAUUGAUGAUAUAACUCAUGAUGGUAGCAGCAGAAUGAAUAAAGAAGUUUGCAGGAACAUUUGUCAAUUUACAGAGAAAUGCAUCCAAACUAGCUGGAAGGAACUUCAUAAUGCAACAAGAAAAUUACCCAAAACACUGACAACUCAACAAAGGACUUCAUCAAGGGGGAAAAAGUGGAAGGUUUGAGACUGCCCAGUUAAUCACCAGAUCUUAACCCAAUUUAGCAGAAUUUCAAAUCCUGAAGAGGAGACUGAAGGGAGAAACCACCUGAAACAAACAACAACUGAAAGAGGCUGCUGUAAAAGCCUGGAAAACCAUUAAAAAAGAAGAAGAAGAAACCAACAAUUUGGUGAUGUCAAUGAGGCUUGAUGCAGUUAUUGGAAGCAAGGCAUAUGCAAUCAAAUAUUAUGUUAUUUUCUUUCAUUUACUUCAAGACUUACCUUUUCUUAUACUUUUGCUCACCUAAAAAUUGGGUGGUCUGAUACAAAAGGUUCUAUGUUUAAUGUUGUUUAACACAUCUAGAUGUAAAUACCAGGAAAUAAAAGCUGAAAUAAUAAACUUUAUUUGCAUACCCAUCUUUUGAUCUCAAACCCAAAUGUCUUUGGUGUAUAGCACAAACAAAUGAAUUGGCCUUGCCAUUCCAAUCAUUUCAGAUGAGACUGUAAGUGAAUUCACUUAUUGAUAACAAGUUGCCUAGUCGUAUUCGGCUAACUUUAUAACAGAUCUGCAUAUAUAAAACAGUGAUUCUUUCAUUCAUCUUACGUAACCACUUUAUCCUGGGCAGGGUCAUGGAGGGUUUGGAGUCUAUCCGGGGGACACUGGCUGUGAGGUGGGAAUACUCUAUGAAACACCACUGCAUUGCAGGGCAGCAUUCACACACUCUAAUCCACCUUUAGUUAUGUUUUAUGGGAGGAAACCCACCUGUACAUAAGGAGUGCAUAAACAAGAUUCUAUCAGCACCUGACUUUUCUACAUGGCCACAAUUAAGCAAUGCAUAUUUAAUCUGAAGAUUUAAUUUGUACUCAAUUGUUUAUAUUAAGAUUAUUAAUUUUGUAUUUGUGGUUCUGAGUACUGUUUCAUUAUAACUUGUUUUCUGGGAGAGCUGGUGCAUUUAUACUGUAGACUUAUGUCAUGCGCUACAACAACACUUCCCCAUAGGAAACACUUAUGUAUCCUGAUUCUAAAAGCCUAAUUUCUCUUCUCUUCUACUGCAUUUUAAUAACUGGUACCUAUGUAAAGAUGGCAGACAUUGAUUGAU
ensembl:lncRNA